CCUACGGGAGGCUGCAGUGAGGAAUAUUGGUCAAUGGGCGCGAGCCUGAACCAGCCAAGUAGCGUGAAGGAUGACUGCCCUACGGGUCGUAAACUUCUUUUAUAAGGGAAUAAAGUGAGGCACGCGUGCCUUUGUGCAUGUACCUGAGGAAUAAGGAUCGGCUAACUCCGUGCCAGCAGCCGCGGUAAUACGGAGGAUCCGAGCGUUAUCCGGAUUUAUUGGGUUUAAAGGGAGCGUAGAUGGGUUGUUAAGUCAGUUGUGAAAGUUUGCGGCUCAACCGUAAAAUUGCAAUUGAUACUGGCAGGCGUGAGUACAGUUGAGGUAGGCGGAAUGCGUGGUGUAGCGGUGAAAUGCUUAGAUAUCACGAAGAACUCCGAUUGCGAAGGCAGCUUGCUAAGCUGCGACUGACAUUGCUGCUCGAAAGUGUGGGGAUCGAACAGGAUUAGAUACCCUUGUAGUC
rnacentral:rRNA from 1 species